rnacentral:lncRNA from 1 species
UUCUUCUUUGAUCUUCUGAGACCUCUGUCUCCCUUCUUACUUUUUGUGACAACCUCGCUCAGAGGGGAGAGAUUAGCAUCACUCGUCCCCGGGAUAUGGAGACCCGAAGACUGUGCCACAGACUGCUUAACUGUCCCUUGGAUAAUGGCACUAGCCUCCAUUCUCCGUGCCAUAUCCACUAUAGCAUGGAAGCUCUCCCUUUCUGCUGAUUGAAUCAACGAGGAAUACCUGGAGUGAAGCUUCAUAA